UACGGAGGGUGCAAGCGUUAUCCGGAUUUACUGGGCUUAAAGGGUGCGUAGGUGGGCAGGUAAGUCAGUGGUGAAAUCUCCGGGCUUAACCCGGAAACUGCCAUUGAUACUAUCUGUCUUGAAUUUCCUGGAGGUAAGCGGAAUAUGUCAUGUAGCGGUGAAAUGCUUAGAUAUGACAUAGAACACCAAUUGCGAAGGCAGCUUACUACGGGAAUAUUGACACUGAGGCACGAAAGCGUGGGGAUCAAACAGG
rnacentral:rRNA from 1 species